AGUAAACUGUACAGUAUGACGGGCUUUGUAAGAAAGCAGUCUUAGUCUAAACAGCUCCAAAGUCAUUUGCCAAAGCUUUGUGCCACUGUGUAGCUAUUCCACUUGGUGGCACAGCCUCAAGAAUAUUUUGUCCAUGAUUGCCAUCUGGCCACCCAGGAAUUAGGGAAGAAAGACUAGGUGAUGCUGAGGAUGUGUGAACAGUGGGAAGUUUCACCUCUGUUCUUCUUCAAUCAAUCCCAAACUAUUGGACUCAACAAAGAACCAAUACUGGAGUCAAUUGUGGAGAAGUGUAAUGGCCUGUGAAAUAUGAAAGGGGCACCUGGAUUUGAGACAAUUCCUUCAGCAGUUUCCAGCUUCACACUACUAAAAACCAGAAGUGCAGCAGCUGAGAAGAUGAUUGAGUGACAAGAUACAAUAAAGUUUGUAGUCUACAGACUACUUCAGAGUUCCAUACCUUGGCCAUCACUGAUCAUGAGAAUAAAUCAGACAAGCAGAUUAAACAUGCACUCUAAUAUCAAUUAUAUUCAUAAAAUAAAAGUGCAGUGAAUGUUAA